UUUUUUUAAGAGAUGCUACUUGUUAUACACCAAAAUAUGUUGAAAUUAAUACACUGACCAGAGCCACAGCAUUGUUUGGGUUUUCACUGUUUUUUUAUUUUUAUAAUGUAUAGUUAUGCUUGUAAUUCCCAUGUAUCAUUUAUUUUGUAAAUGUUUCUAGGAACGAUUAACGAUUGGUAGAAUAGGUCCAGCUUAUGAUAGGAAAGUUUCUUUUGUUUUAUCUAGG
rnacentral:misc_RNA from 1 species